rnacentral:rRNA from 1 species
AAACUUUCAACAACGGAUCUCUUGGUUCCGGCAUCGAUGAAGAACGCAGCGAAAUGCGAUAACUAAUGUGAAUUGCAGAAUUCAGUGAAAUCAUCGAGUCUUUGAACGCACAUUGCGCCCCUUGGUAUUCCGGGGGGCAUGCCUGUCCGAGCGUCAUU